UACGUAGGGGGCAAGCGUUGUCCGGAUUUACUGGGCGUAAAGAGCGUGUAGGCGGCCACGCAGGUCCGUUGUGAAAACUGGAGGCUCAACCUUCAGACGUCGACGGAAACCGUAUGGCUAGAGUCCGGAAAGAGGAGAGUGGAAUUCCUGGUGUAGGCGGUGAAAUGCGCAGAUAUCAGGAAGAACACCAAUGGCGAAGGCAGCUCUCGUGGGACGGUACUGACGCUGAGACGCGAAAAGCGUGGGGAGCGAACAGG
rnacentral:rRNA from 1 species